GACGAACGCUGGCGGCGUGCUUAACACAUGCAAGUCGAACGGCAAGGCCCUGCUUUUUUGGGGUUCUGGAGUGGGGAAGGGGGGAGUGACACGUGAGUAUCCUGCCCUACUCUUUGGGGUAGGUUCAGGUAACUGGGCCUAAUAUAGGAGAGGAUCCGCUCCUGCGGGGUGGGGGGGGGAAAGUUUCUGCCGUUGGGGAUGGAUUCGCGGCUUAGGGGCUUGCUGGUGGGGUGGUGGCUGACCAAGGCUUGGGCGGGUAGCCGGCCGGAGAGGGUGGCCGGCGUCAUUGGGACUGAGAUACGGCCCAGACUCCUACGGGAGGCAGCAGUGGGGAAUAUUGCCCAAUGGGCGGACGCCGGUUGAGGCAACGCCGCGUGCGGGAUGACGGCCUUCGGGUUGUAAACCGCUUUCGCUUGUUACGACGCGUGAGUGACGGUAAUGGGUGAAGAAGCACCGGCUAACUACGUG
rnacentral:rRNA from 1 species